AGGAUGGAAUCAUUAUCAAUGUGGCUUGCGCUCAAUCGGGACGUAUAAAAACACUUUGAUACCACACACGAGACGGGUGAUAAAAACUGGAAGCCAGUGAAUAUGUUAAAGAAGCGGGCACUUGUCUGUCAAUGGUGGUAACAACCGUCCACACUAGUUGUGAAUUAAAAGUUUCUAGUCAGACAAGUUUCAGAAACCUGCCUGUAACUGUGUGUGUUGGUGUGAUGGCAUGGGACUAAGAAGCGGGCACUUGUCUAGCAAUAGUGUAGGAGGUGAAUCUACCUAAAAAGAAGUACGAUUUAUAAUAAUAUGCAUCCAUAGAACUAAACCGUUGAGAUGGGAAAGUGUACGAAUACGUAACCCAUACUAGAACCACACACGUGUACCAAUCGGCUGAGAUGCCUUUACCAACGUGCAUUAUGAAGUGCAAUGUUUAUUACCUUACAUGCAUCACGUUCGCGUUUGGUGGCGUGACAAUUGGUGCUUUAGCAUUAGCUGUUGGCACUGAUUCCUGGUUAUUAACUAAAGAACUGAUUUUAAUGCGAGAUGAGAAUAAUACUAUAUUUGAAGGAUCUCCUAAAAUGUGGAUGUCAACAAGAAGCGGCUUGUGGAAAAUUUGUAUUAUAUACGAUGUCUUAGGGGAGAUUAUGGAGAGUUGUGAUCAGAUACAUUUUAACGUGGAAGCUGUCAGUGGUCGGGAACAUGACGCCGAAACGUCCAUGAUCAUCGUCACCGCUAUAAGAAAAGCUGUACCACUUCCUGUGGUAGCCUUAUUACUGUGUAUUGUGGGAUUUAUAUUUAAUGUUGUUGGCAGUAUCCAUAGAGACGUGAAAACAUUAACAGCAGCUGUGUGCUACGUUUUAUCA